AGAGUUUGAUCCUGGCUCAGGAUGAACGCUAGCGACAGGCUUAACACAUGCAAGUCGAGGGGCAGCAUGAUUUGUAGCAAUACAGAUUGAUGGCGACCGGCGCACGGGUGAGUAACGCGUAUGCAACUUACCUAUCAGAGGGGGAUAGCCCGGCGAAAGUCGGAUUAAUACCCCAUAAAACAGGGGUCCCGCAUGGGAAUAUUUGUUAAAGAUUCAUCGCUGAUAGAUAGGCAUGCGUUCCAUUAGGCAGUUGGCGGGGUAACGGCCCACCAAACCGACGAUGGAUAGGGGUUCUGAGAGGAAGGUCCCCCACAUUGGUACUGAGACACGGACCAAACUCCUACGGGAGGCAGCAGUGAGGAAUAUUGGUCAAUGGCCGAGAGGCUGAACCAGCCAAGUCGCGUGAAGGAAGAAGGAUCUAUGGUUUGUAAACUUCUUUUAUAGGGGAAUAAAGUGGAGGACGUGUCCUUUUUUGUAUGUACCCUAUGAAUAAGCAUCGGCUAACUCCGUGCCAGCAGCCGCGGUAAUACGGAGGAUGCGAGCGUUAUCCGGAUUUAUUGGGUUUAAAGGGUGCGUAGGUGGUGAUUUAAGUCAGCGGUGAAAGUUUGUGGCUCAACCAUAAAAUUGCCGUUGAAACUGGGUUACUUGAGUGUGUUUGAGGUAGGCGGAAUGCGUGGUGUAGCGGUGAAAUGCAUAGAUAUCACGCAGAACUCCGAUUGCGAAGGCAGCUUACUAAACCAUAACUGACACUGAAGCACGAAAGCGUGGGGAUCAAACAGGAUUAGAUACCCUGGUAGUCCACGCAGUAAACGAUGAAUACUCGCUGUUUGCGAUAUACAGUAAGCGGCCAAGCGAAAG
rnacentral:rRNA from 1 species